rnacentral:rRNA from 1 species
AAUCGAAGCAGUGAACUUAAGCCCCAGUAAACGGCGGCCGUAACUAUAACGGUCCUAAGGUAGCGAAAUUCCUUGUCGGGUAAGUUCCGACCCGCACGAAAGGCGUAACGAUUUGGGCACUGUCCCAACAACAGACUCGGUGAAAUUGUAAUUCCGGUGAAGAUGCCGGAUACCUGCGACAGGACGGAAAGACCCCAUGGAGCUUUACUGUAGCUUGACAUUGGGUCUUGGUACUACAUGUACAGGAUAGGUGGGAGGCUUUGAAACCAGGACGCCAGUUUUGGCGGAGCCAUCCUUGGGAUACCACCCUUGUAGUACUGGGACUCUAACCAUAGGCCAUGAAUCUGGUCUUGGGACACUGUCAGGUGGGCAGUUUGACUGGGGCGGUCGCCUCCCAAAAGGUAACGGAGGCGCUCAAAGGUUCUCUCAGUACGGUCGGAAAUCGUACGUAGAGUGUAAAGGCAAAAGAGAGCUUGAUUGCAAGACAUACAGGUCGAGCAAGGAUGAAAA